AAAUUGAAGAGUUUGAUCAUGGCUCAGAUUGAACGCUGGCGGCAGGCCUAACACAUGCAAGUCGAGCGGUAACACAGGGAGCUUGCUCCUGGGUGACGAGCGGCGGACGGGUGAGUAAUGUCUGGGAAACUGCCUGAUGGAGGGGGAUAACUACUGGAAACGGUAGCUAAUACCGCAUAACGUCGCAAGACCAAAGAGGGGGACCUUCGGGCCUCUUGCCAUCAGAUGUGCCCAGAUGGGAUUAGCUAGUAGGUGGGGUAACGGCUCACCUAGGCGACGAUCCCUAGCUGGUCUGAGAGGAUGACCAGCCACACUGGAACUGAGACACGGUCCAGACUCCUACGGGAGGCAGCAGUGGGGAAUAUUGCACAAUGGGCGCAAGCCUGAUGCAGCCAUGCCGCGUGUAUGAAGAAGGCCUUCGGGUUGUAAAGUACUUUCAGCGGGGAGGAAGGUGUUGAGGUUAAUAACCUCAGCAAUUGACGUUACCCGCAGAAGAAGCACCGGCUAACUCCGUGCCAGCAGCCGCGGUAAUACGGAGGGUGCAAGCGUUAAUCGGAAUUACUGGGCGUA
rnacentral:rRNA from 1 species